rnacentral:rRNA from 1 species
AGUAGUCUCGCACAGAUGCAUAUCAAUAAGCGGAGGAAAAGAAACUAACAAGGAUUCCCCUAGUAACGGCGAGUGAAGCGGGAAGAGCUCAAAUUUGAAAUCUUAAAGGGUUUCCCUUUACGAAUUGUAGUUUAAAGAAGUGUUUUCUGUUGAGGUUUUGGUAAAAGUUCUUUGGAAUAGGACAUCAUAGAGGGUGAGAAUCCCGUAUUUGACCUUUACUUUCAACUUUGUGAUACACUUUCAAAGAGUCGGAUUGUUUGGGAAUGCAGUCCAAAAUGGGUGGUAAAUUUCAUCUAAAGCUAAAUAUUGGCGAGAGAUCGAUAGCGAACAAGUACCGUGAGGGAAAGAUGAAAAGAACUUUGAAAAGAGAGUUAAACAGUACGUGAAAUUGUCAAAAGGGAAGCGUUUGACACCAGUGUUGUUUUUCUGAAAAUCAAUUAAAGAACUGUUUAUGCUAAGCUGUUUAGACUUUAUCAGCUAACUGUUUAGUUUUGAGCUUUUCUUUAAUGCACUUUUCAGUUAACAAGUCAACAUCAAUUUCUUUUGCUGUAAAAAAGCUUGAGGAAGGUGGCUUGAGAUUCGUCUUAAGUGUUUAUAGCCUCUUGCCUAUGCAGUCGGAGAGAUUGAGGUCUGCAGCGUAGAUCCUUCGGGGCUAAAUGCAUUUGUGCUAAGUUAUAGCAUUUUAUAGACAACUUGUUGACUAUGAUUUGUCUUGUAGCUUACUCGCUUAUGUUAUUUUACCUACGCUUAGGAUGUUGACGCAUGAGAUAUACGC